rnacentral:lncRNA from 1 species
UGUUGGCCCUCUCUAAAUCUCACGUUGAAAUGUGAUCCUUAAUGUUGGAGGUGGGUCCUGGUGGGAGGUGUUUUGGUCGUGGGGCCAGAUCCCUUAUGAAUGGCUUGAUGCCUUCCCUGUGGUAAUGAAUGAGUUCUUGCUUUAUUAGUUCACUAAAGAGCUGGUUGUUUAAAAGAGCCUGGCAUCUCUCUCUUGCUCCCUCUCUCACCAUGUGACAUGCCUGCUCCCCCUUCACCUUCCACCAUGAGUAGAAGCUUCCUGAGGUCCUAACCAGAAGCACUUGCUAGUGCCAAGAUUCUUGUACAGCCUGUGGAACCAUGAAAUAAACCUCUCCUCUUUAUAGGUUACCCAGUCUCAGAUAUUCCUUUAUAGCAACACAAAACACAGGUGGCAUUCUACUUCACUGAAAUAAAUCUAACAAUCUUAGCUUUGCUCGAAUAGUAGGUACAUUUAAAGAUCUUUUGGGCAAUUGAUAAUUGACAAAAUAAGCUGAAAAAGGAACUGAAUAUAGCACUUUUUAAGGCCUGUAGUAUAGUUUACAUUGUAGAAUCUAGUAUUGCUCUUGGAUUUUUUUUAAAACGUAUGCCUAAAUCCUCUCUAGUAGCAGGAAACUUAUUAUAUUUAUUGUCCUUGUUUUCUUCUAGGACAAAUUCGUCAAAAAUUUCUCCCUUAUUUGGCUAAUUUCCAUCUCCUUUUUACAUUAACCACUGGAAAGCUCAUGAACCCUCUUGCGUCAUCUGUGAUGAUUUAUGGCUUUUAUGUGCACAUUCCAGAAACACAAAUGCAAUAAUAGUUCUCUUGAGAAGCUUAAAGAGGAAGGCUUGUGGGACAAGACACUAUUCAAAGGAAUGGGAGACACACUGAUCCAGAAGUUCCAACACUGUGAUCUGCAACGAACUGGGCUUCAGUGAUCAACAGUGAGUACUUCUGACACAACAAAACUUAAUUCAACCAAUGAAGUGCUAUAUUUUUGUUUUCUUGUUUUACAUAGUAAUAGUUAUGCAGAUUUUAUUUGAAUAAGAAAAA